GUGCGUGCUCUUUCCUUAUUACAAUUUAAGGAUCGUGCUUAACCUUACAACAAGAGUGCCCUUGAAGGCUUAAGUAGGUGACUUUUGAUCCAGGUCUUGAAAAGGAAGAAACUUUGCAAGGGGUGGCAGUUAAAAGGGUGGGAAUGCCAGCAAGAGAGACUGCCGUAUGCAAAAACAUGCAGGCAAAUGAACCGGACUUGCCACAUCAAAAUAUUCAGGAGGUAUUGACUGCCACUAGGAAAGGAAGGAGCUUCUGGACUAUUUUAGACGUGACUCUGUCAAUUGGACUCUUUGAUCACUGAGCAUGGGACUUAACCAUAAAAUGACACAGCAUACCGGAGGCUGGUCUAUCCCAGGAGAACUUACAUCAUUUUUCUGCCUGACACUGUUUGUGGGACUGGGAGACAAGACGAAAUAGUUGUGCUCUCCCUGAGACACCAGACCCUGAAGGAGUCCCAGGGCAUGGCCAGCAGAGGGGAGACAUUGUGUUAUUUUGUUUGUGACUGUUAUUGCUGUGUCUCUUUCAGUUUUCACAGCAGAACCCUUGCGGAUCUUGGGAGACUGGCCCUGUGGAGGUGGUGAUACAGGCCAGGGGGGCACAGCGCCUACAAGCUGCCUCCCCCAGUUUGCUAUGAGGACCAGAUGGGGGGAGACACCAUGGGGUCCUAAGUGCUGAUCGACUUUCGCAGGCAUUCUUUCUCUUCUUGGAGGCCUUCUUUAUUAUGUAUCCACGUGGUUGCAUGUUGAUUCAUUUGACAGACAUUUGUUGGUAACCGCAACCUGCCAGGUUCUGGACUACCAUAGUAGACAGGCAAAAAGCAUCACCCUCAGGGAAAUUAGAACAACGCAGAGACAAUUACAGAGCAGUGUAGGAAGGCAGUUGUAACUGCAGAGGGAGGUCUGGGGAAACAGAGAUGAGGAGUGUGCAAUCAGCUUGGAAAAGGCUUCCUAGAGAAGGUAGAAGGGGAUGGGGUUAGGUACAACUAUCCACUCAAGACACCAGAUGCCGCAGCACCAUAGAUGGAAGGCUUGGAUGUUACCUCCUCACAUAAUCAGUCCAGUUCAGUCGCUCAGUCCUGUCUAACUCUUUGCAACCUCAUGGAUUGCAGCACGACAGGCUUCCCUGUCCAUCACCAACUCCCAGAGCUUGCUCAAACUCAUAUCCAUUGAGUCAGUGAUGCCAUCCAACUAUCUCAUUCUCUGCCUUCCCCUUCUCCUCCUGCCGUCAAUCUUUCCCAGCAUCAGGGUCUUUUCCAAUGAGUCAGUUUUUCGUAUCAGGUGGCCAUACUAUUAGAACUUCAGCUUCAGCAUCAGUCGGUCCUAUGAAUAUUCAGGGCUGAUCUCCUUUAGGAUGGACUGGUUGGAUCUCCUUGCAGUCCAAG
ensembl:lncRNA